UACGGAGGGGGCAAACGUUACUCGGAUUUACUGGGCGUAAAGGGUCCGUAGGCGGUUCUUUAAGUUAGAUGUGAAAGCUUGAAGCUUAACUUCAAAAUUGCAUCUAAAACUGGAGAACUAGGUUCUUGGAGAGGUUGAUGGAAUUACCGGUGUAGCGGUGAAAUGCGUAGAUAUCGGUAGGAACACCAGUGGCGAAAGCGAUCAACUGGCCAAGUAACGACGCUGAGGGACGAAAGCGUGGGUAGCAAACAGG
rnacentral:rRNA from 1 species